rnacentral:rRNA from 1 species
CCUACGGGGGGCAGCAGUGGGGAAUAUUGGGCAAUGGAGGAAACUCUGACCCAGCAAUGCCGCGUGAAUGAAGAAGGCCUUCGGAUUGUAAAGCUCUUUAGUCAGGGAAGAAUAAAAUGACGGUACCUGCAGAAUAAGCUCCGGCUAACUACGUGCCAGCAGCCUCGGUAAUACGUAAGGAGCAAGCGUUGUUCGGAAUGACUGGGGGUAAAGGGUGCAUAGGCGGUGAUGCAAGUUAGAAGUGAAAUACCCGGGGCUUAACUCGGGUGCUGCUUCUAAAACUGUAAGACUUGAGUGCAGUAGAGGUAAGUGGAAUUCGUGGUGUAGCGGUGGAAUGCGUAGAUAUCAGGAGGAACACCGAAGGCGAAGGCAGCUAACUGGACUGCAACUGACGCUGAGGCACGAAAGUGUGGGGAGCAAACAGGAUUAGAUACCCGAGUAGUC